UGCGUAGGGUGCAAGCGUUAAUCGGAAUUACUGGGCGUAAAGCGUGCGCAGGCGGCUUUGCAAGACAGAUGUGAAAUCCCCGGGCUUAACCUGGGAACUGCAUUUGUGACUGCAUGGCUUGAGUGCGGCAGAGGGGGAUGGAAUUCCGCGUGUAGCAGUGAAAUGCGUAGAUAUGCGGAGGAACACCGAUGGCGAAGGCAAUCCCCUGGGCCUGCACUGACGCUCAUGCACGAAAGCGUGGGGAGCAAACAGG
rnacentral:rRNA from 1 species